AUUUAGCACCAUUCAGGAGGAAUGAAACAAGCUCAAGAAAAAAUUUGAAAAAAUGACAGUGACUGGGGAUGAAAUUGCCAUAGUGGGAGUAGGAUGCAAUUUUCCCGGAGGUGAAGGAGUCGACAAUUUCUGGCAAGUACUGGUGGAGGGCAGAAACUGUACCAUAGAAAUAACCCCAGAAAGAUUCAAUACCAGAGAAUGGUAUGAUCCAGAUGAUAACAAACCAGGAAAAAAUAUGCACGACGCGAGCUGCUCUUAUUGAUGGAUUUAACACAUUUGACAACAAGCUGUUCAGAAUUAAUGAUCUGGAAGCUGAGCGCAUGGAUCCUCAAUAAAAGUUACUCCUGGAAUGCACGUACAGAGCGCUGGAGGAUGCAGGAGUCACAAUGGAAAAUACCAGUGGCACCAAAACAGGGGUUUUUGUUGGUCUUAUGAAUUGAGACUAUGAGAUCAUCGCAAACAGAGCAGUAACUGAAAUAAAUCAUUACGAUGGGACUGGGACAGCAAUGAGCAUAGCUGCUAACAGGAUUUCAUACACUUUUAAUUUGACUGGACCAUCACUUGCCAUUGAUACUGCAUGCUCAUCAUUUCUUUUUGCUUUGCAUUACGCAGUUAAACAAG